rnacentral:rRNA from 1 species
CCUACGGGAGGCAGCAGUGGGGAAUAUUGCACAAUGGGGGAAACCCUGAUGCAGCGACGCCGCGUGAGUGAAGAAGUAAUUCGUUAUGUAAAGCUCUAUCAGCAGGGAAGAAAAUGACGGUACCUGUGUAAGAAGCCCCGGCUAACUACGUGCCAGCAGCCGCGGUAAUACGUAGGGGGCAAGCGUUAUCCGGAUUUAUUGGGUGUAAAGGGAGCGUAGACGGCAGUGCAAGUCUGGAGUGAAAGGCGGGGGCUCAAACCCCGGACUGCUCUGGAAACUGUGCGGCUGGAGUGGGGGAGAGGUAAGUGGAAUGCCUGGUGUAGCGGUGAAAUGCGUAGAUAUUAGGAAGAACACCGGUGGCGAAGGCGGCUUACUGGACUGUAACUGACGUUGAGGCUCGAAAGCGUGGGGAGCGAACAGGAUUAGAUACCCGUGUAGUC